UGAUAGUGCUUUUGUUUCAGAAGUUGUGU
rnacentral:piRNA from 1 species